rnacentral:rRNA from 1 species
UACGGAGGGGGCAAGCGUUAUUCGGAAUCAUUGGGCGUAAAGGGCGCGUAGGCGGCUUGGCAAGUCAAAGGUGAAAUCCCUCGGCCCAACCGAGGAACUGCCUUUGAUACUGCCUCGCUUGAGGCCGGGAGAGGGUAGCGGAAUUCCCAGUGUAGCGGUGAAAUGCGUAGAUAUUGGGAGGAACACCAGUGGCGAAGGCGGCUACCUGGACCGGUUCUGACGCUGAUGCGCGAAAGCGUGGGGAGCAAACAGG